CCGAGUUUACAACUCCCAAACCCCUGUGAACAUACCACUUGUUGCCUCGGCGGAUCAGCCCGCUCCCGGUAAAACGGGACGGCCCGCCAGAGGACCCCUAAACUCUGUUUCUAUAUGUAACCUUCUGAGUAAAACCAUAAAUAAAUCA
rnacentral:misc_RNA from 1 species